rnacentral:tRNA from 1 species
GAGGGGAUAGCUCAGUGGUAGAGCAUGUGCUUAGCAUGCACAAAGGUCCUGGGUUCAAUCCCCAGUACCUCCA